rnacentral:lncRNA from 1 species
GGGCUCAGAUCCGUGGGGUCCCUGUGUGGGGCUCGGAUCCGUGGGGCUCAGAUCCAUGGGGUCCCCGUGGGGCUCAGAUCCGUGGGGCUCAGAUCCAUGGGGUCCCUGAUCCGUGGGGCUGGGAUCCGUGGGGCUGAGAUCCGUGUGUUGCGGUUGCAGUCCCGCAGGGGGUGCUCCCCCCGUUCCCCCCGGGGCUGUUCCCGCUGUGGCCGCCCAUGGCUCCGUUCCCCCCGGUCCCCGGCGCUCAGGGACCCCCCAGCCCCGAGGGCUCCGCUGCCGCCGCCCCCCCGUCAGCUUCCGCCAGAACCGGGGACGGCUCCGCUUCGGGCUCGGACGGCAGCACCGCGCCGGGAUUCCCCCUGCCCCCCCCGUGGCUGGGGAUGCCCUGGCCGCCCCUCUUCGGUGAGGGGGGGGGGGGGGAUUGGGGGCGAUCCAGGGGGGGUUGUGUCCCCGUUAUUCACCCCCAAAUCCUGCAGGGUUUUGGGGCUCAUCCGUGGGAUUUCUCCCCAUUAUUCACCCCCAAAUCCUGCAGGGUUUUGGGGUUCAUCCAUGGGAUUUCUACCCAAUAUUGCCCCUAAAUCCUGCAGGGUUUUAGGGUUCAUCCAUGGGAUUUCUCCCCAUUAUUCACCCCCAAAUCCUGCAGGGUUCUGGGGUUUGGUUUUGGGGUUCAUCUGUGGGAUUUCUCCCCAUUAUUCCCCCCCCAAAUCCUGCAGGGUUUUGGGGUUCAUCCAUGGGAUUUCUCCCCCAAACCCCCCAGGAUUCUGCGAUUUCCCCCCAAAACCCCCCA